rnacentral:rRNA from 1 species
CGCUGGCGGCGUGCUUAACACAUGCAAGUCGAACGGGCUUAAAGAGCUUGCUCUUUAAGUCAGUGGCGGACGGGUGAGUAACGCGUGGGCAACCUGCCUAUGUCUGGGGAAUAACACAAAGAAAUUUGUGCUAAUACCGCAUAAGACCACAGUAAGGCAUCUUACAGGGGUAAAAGAUUUUACCGGAUAUAGAGGGGCCCGCGUCCCAUUAGAUAGUUGGUAGUGUAACGGACUACCAAGUCUGCGAUGGGUAGCCGACCUGAGAGGGUGAUCGGCCACACUGGAACUGAGAUACGGUCCAGACUCCUACGGGAGGCAGCAGUGGGGAAUAUUGGGCAAUGGAGGCAACUCUGACCCAGCCAACGCCGCGUGAAUGAUGAAGGUCUUCGGAUUGUAAAGUUCUGUGAUGGGGGACGAAGAAAGUGACGGUACCCCAUAAGCAAGCAACGGCUAACUACGUGCCAGCCGCAGC